GUGUUCACUUUAGCAGCACAUAUCCUAAAACUGGAAGAUACAGAGAAGAUUAGCAUGUUCCCUGCCUAAGGAUGACACGCAAAUUUGUGAAGUAUUCCAUAUUUUA